ACUUGGACCAAUCCCUGAUAGCCCCUCUCUAAAGCACCGCCCAUUCCGUUAAACUCCCUUCAAAAGGGUUGCGGCCUCUGCGUUUUUACUGACUGCGAUAGAAAUGGAGCCUGCGGCAUUUUACUCUGAGAAGAGCGCUGUCACGUGGGCCAGCAAGCGAAAGGUAAGAAAGCUGUAAUUUAUGUAAGUGCUGUGUUGUUUCAAAUUUUUCAUUUUACGUCUUAUUUGUUGUGUGCUAUAACCAUAUAAUUAUUAUCUCAAUAGAAUGCUGGUAAAGAGAACAAGAGCCCACAGACCACAAAAAAGACAUCGACAACCCGACUUGUAAAAAAAGAAAUCGGCUGCUAUGAUUGAACGUCGGAAUCCCGGUGCGGUGAUUGUUUCCAAAGCUCAAUUAUCGGACUUCACAACAAGGCUUAAAGUUUUGGAGGCACGGCUUGGUUUGUUGGAGGCACGUCUCGAUGGUGGAAACGAAAUGACAAAACCAACCAAAACCAACGUAAUGACAGCUGAGCAAGCCACAUCAACAGACUGCCAUGUCGAUGAUGAUUAUUUGGAUGCUCAAAUUAACUGCCAACAGACUUGUGAGAUGCGGUCAUUCCUUCAACAUUCUCACGAAGACCACUCGUCAUUGCUGCACCUGGGUGAUUCUGACUUCGGUAUUCCAUUCAAUGCAUCUACACCCUUACCUCGUCCAACGGACAUUUCGUCAAUGGAGUUGACAUCUCUCGGCCUAACCCACCCAGCUGACCUAACUGACCCGGUGGCAACUUCGAGGAUUCACUGUGUAAAUACGCCGCUUCGAGAUUCUCUACUUUCUCCCCCACCUGUUAACGGUUAAUAUUCGCUUAACCAGCGGUUGUUGGUUGGCAAAAUGAAUCGAAACCAGCAUUCCUAGUUUGGCAUAAAUUGUAUCUUAACUAUUUGAUCUAUUAUUUGACGGUCAGUUAGCCUAUCUACAAAAUAAACAAGAAGUGCUUCAACACAAGGUGCUGCAUCGCCAAAACACCAACAUUAUGCGCCAAGAUUAUGACAAUAUAUUUUAUGUUAUAUUUAUUAAACAUUUAUUUCUGAAAUGUUACUAAAGUGGUUGAUAGUUAACUGAAAUGUUCAGUUCUUUAUAUAACAUAUGGAUGUUAUGUAAUGUAAGUUAAUUGUAAUGCAGCAUCAUAAUGAACAAAUAUGUGCUAGUCAUUGGCGUAUAUUAAAGGGAGUUCAAAAAUGAUCACAUCCGUAACGCAAAAUCGUGGUUGUUUAGAGCAAAGACCUAAGAUGAGUUUGCGAUCAUAAUUAGCAUGGACAUAUUUAACCCCUUUUUUGAAAGCACGAAAUGUGGUUAGAUGAUAAUGAAAUUUACCAUUGGCAAUUCUCAUAUUUCAUGCAUAAACAAACCAAUUUCCUUAAAAAUUCAACACAUCAUAAAAAUAAAAUAUAGACCUUAAUGAGUAAAUUUAAAUUUAUGUUUUGUUGUUUUGGUCAAAAGUUUAUUUUUUCAUGAUUUGGUUGAAAUUUUCAUGGAAUUGCUUUAAAAAAAUGUUCUGAAGCAUAUUUUUGAUUGUAACAAUAACAUUGAUUUAUUGGUGCCAAUGGUUAGGGGAACAAAGAGGGCAUUAAACCCAACCCCCACCCUGCUAUUCACAAACAUUUCGCUUCCUCUGAACAUUGACAAACCAUUAGCCCACACCCCUGACUGAUUCCUUAGCGAAUAAAAACGGUCCGGCCACACGAAAUGCCAGUCAAAAUGACUAAGAUCAACAAGCUGCAUUCCCAAGACAUCAGAGUAAUGCGCUCUGCUGGACAUUCGGUACAUCACCGUUUUUUUUCAGGACAAUGAUCCAAAACACACUGCUGCAAGCAAGGUCAUUUUUUCUGAGGGUAUAAACUGGAUUAAAACUCUUGCUGAGUCCCCGGACAUGAAUCCGAUUGAGAUGGUGUGGCAUGCUCUCAAAGAUUAUAUUCGGAAAGUAGUAAAACCAACAACAAAGUCUGACUUAGUUGCUGCCAUAAAUAAAUUCUGGUUUGAGGAACUUACAGCAACGGCAUGCAACAAUUAUAUAAACAGACUUUUUAAAGUUCUUCCGACUGUGGUGGAGCGUCAGGGUGGUCACACUGGAAUGUAGCAUAUUCAUUGUUUUUGUAUAAAUGAAAAUAUGCUAUACAUUUAUUAUCACUUAUAAAUAAAUCAUUUUUAGUAGA